GUGGUGCAGUUUGUAGGUUGGAGGUGGUGCAGUAUGUAGGCUUGAGGUGGUGCAGUGUGUAUGGAUUGAGGUGGUGCAGUGUGAAGGGGUGGAGGUGAUGCAGUGUGUAGUUGUACAGUAGAAGGAAGACUACUGGUUCAUGUAUCUUGUCUAAACGUAAUCCUGAGAAUGGCUGAACACCCUAACCCCUACUACUUAAUGACACGUUUCUGUAUUGUCUAACAGUAACCCCUACCUACUACUUAAUGACAUGUUUCUGUAUUGUCUAACCCCUACCUGCUCCUUAAUGACAUGUUUCUGAACUCACUGACAAAACCCCUACUUUCUCC
ensembl:lncRNA